GUGCUUGCUUUGGCAGCACAUAUACUCCGAUUGGAAAGAUACAGAGAAGAUUAGCCUGGCUCCUGUGCAAGGAUGACAUGCAAAUGUGUGAAGCAUUCCUUUUUUUU